rnacentral:lncRNA from 1 species
UGUCUUAAAAGAAAGAUGAGAGGAAAAAAAAAAAAAAAAAAAGGUGUUUCUAAAUGACAGAGAGAAAGAGGUGUAAAAGAGAGAAAUAAUUAGGUGUGGCUUUAAGGAGUGAAAAAUGCCCCAGAUGUAGAUUCUUUCCCUUGUGUCAAUAUUUAACUGUAUGAAAUUUUAUGAAGCGGUUAUCUUGGGAUCAAUAGUUGCUUUUCAAAUAGUGCCUUUGACCUAUGUACAUAGGGAGCAUAUUACUCGGUGUUUAAAUAAAUGAUGCUGUUCCCAUGUGAACUGUACAGGAAAUGUGCAGGUUAUUAACUAGCUUAUUUCUCAGCUUGGAAAACAUCUGAGAGAAAGCUGAGCAUGAGCUUCCUACUGUCAGCAUCAAGCAGUUGUUUUCUCCUGUACGGAUUAUGUUUUCCAGUCCUCUCACUUCUGACUUCUCUUUCUGUCAGCACUGCACCUCUAACCAUGCUUCCUUGUGCCUUUGAGACAUUACUCACCUCUUCUAUGGCUGGAAAAUACACUGUUCUUCUCCAAAUCAUCAAUGGAAUGGAAGAAAAAAAUGCCCUGGAUCUGUGAUGCAAGUGCAGCUGUCAACCUGUGCGGAGCUGGGAAGUGGAGGUCCCAGAGCAUCUUUGGAGAGCAGGGAUUGAAAAUGGAGGCCAGAGGAACAUCAAGUGGUGGGAUGGCGAAUAAAGAUGGGACUUUAGAGGGGUCCGUGCUGGGUCUGGUAAAGUUGACAGCACCACGGGUUGGACAUUUCCCUCUUCUGUGGUAGAGUCAACCCAGCAAAAGAGGUGAUUCAGUUGUUGUUCUGUGUGGUGGGACUUGUUCGUGUGCAAAGCAUUCUUCUUGGUGGAAAGCAGCAGCUGUGGUUGCUGUGGUUGUGGUAGAGGGAGAAGCUCACCAUCUAGGGAGAGGAAUAGAAGGAAAGGAAGGGAUUCCACACUAGUGUGAGCACAGGCAAUGUGUUGCAUAAUGGUGGUUGUGUCAUUCAGCCAGAGAUGAUGUGACCCAGAGAGGAUGAUAAAAUAUGAAAGAAAAUAUUAACUUGGAGGACCCUGCACCUCCUGGCAAGACAACAGCUUGUGAUUGUGCUAAGGAGAACUUGCUGCCACUGCCUCGUUCUGGGAUAGCAGUUUGGGUAAUAGGCAGAUUUGUAAGAUCAGGAUUUGUGAAGGAUGCCCCAUCCCUGAAAACAUUCAAGGUUAGGCUGGAUGAGGCUCUCAGCAACCUGUAGAUGUCCCUGUUCAUGGCAGGGGAGUUGGACUUUAUGGCCUUUAAAUAUCCCUUCCAACUCAAGCAAUUUUAUGAUUCCUUGAUAUCUUGAUUUCACGUCUCAUUUCUCCUAGAGGAGCCAUUCAGGCUCAUUUUUCCCCUUCUUGGCAACCCCAAAAGAAAAAGUAACCAGCUGAGGUUUAAGGUGUCUAACACCAGUCCCAGUGCAACAAGGUAACGUAAUUAAUCGCAAACCCUACUUGGGAGCAAUGAGGGUUGCUGGUGCUGUGUCAAGGGGAGCAAGCUACUGCCAGUAUCUGAGCUGCAGCUGCUGCACCGAUGGCCCAGGAACAUCAGCUUUUUUCCCCUUGGUAUGGGCAAAGCUUCUAGGCUCCUGCCUCAGCAGCAAUUGCUGUUGAUGCAGGUAGGAAUCCCAGACCGUCUCCCAAGGAAACUGAAGUUGCAUCACAGCACAAGUAGGAAGUCUCUCUGGGGCGAGGAAGAAAUGGGAGAUGUAAUGGGAUAGGAGAAGCGCAUAUGAGAGAAGAGGCUGUGGGAGG